rnacentral:tRNA from 1 species
GCCGGCAUAGCUCAGUUCGGUAGAGCAACUGAUUCGUAAUCAGUAGGUCGCGGGUUCAAAUCCCAUUGCCGGCU